rnacentral:rRNA from 1 species
GAUGAACGCUGGCGGCGUGCCUAAUACAUGCAAGUCGAGCGAAAGGACGAGGAGCUUGCGUCUCUGAUGUUAGAGGCGGACGGGAGAGUAACACGUGGAUAACCUACCUAUCAGACUGGGAUAACUUCGGGAAACCGGAGCUAAUACCGGAUGAUAUUUUGCACCGCGUGGUUCAAAAGUGAAAGACGGUCUUGCGGUCAGUUAUAGAUGGCUACGCGCUGCAUUAGCUAGUUGGUAAGGUAAAGGCUUACCAAGGCUACGAUGGAUAGCCGACCUGAGAGAGUGGUCGGCCACAUGGGAACUGAGACAGCGUCCAGACUCCUGCGGUAGGCAGCAGUACGGAAUCUUCCGCAAUGGGGGAGAGCCUGACGUUGCAACGCCGCGUAAGUGAUGAAGGACCUCUGCUCGUAAAGCUCUGUUAGUAGUAGAGAACAUAUGUUUAAUUAACCGUGCACAUAUUGACGGUACCGGGUCAGAAAGCCCCGGCUAACUACGUG